rnacentral:rRNA from 1 species
ACGCUCGACACCUACGGGAGUCAGCAGUGGGGAAUAUUGCACAAUGGGGGAAACCCUGAUGCAGCGACGCCGCGUGGAGGAAGAAGGUCUUCGGAUUGUAAACUCCUGUUGUUGGGGAAAAAGAGGAUGGUACCCAACAAGGAAGUGACGGCUAACUACGUGCCAGCAGCCGUGGUAAUCUGAGCGGGCUGGCAAGGC